rnacentral:tRNA from 1 species
AUCUUUCUAGUAUAAGUUAAUACUGAUGACUUCCAAUUAUUAAAUCUUGGUUAAAGCCCAAGGAAAGAUA